GACGAACGCUGGCGGCGUGCUUAACACAUGCAAGUCGAACGAGAAUCUACUGAAAGAGUUUUCGGACAAUGGAAGUAGAGGAAAGUGGCGGACGGGUGAGUAACGCGUGAGGAACCUGCCUUGAAGAGGGGGACAACAGUUGGAAACGACUGCUAAUACCGCAUGACGCAUAGAGGUCGCAUGAUCUUUAUGCCAAAGAUUUAUCGCCUCAAGAUGGCCUCGCGUCUGAUUAGCUGGUUGGCGGGGUAACGGAACACCAAGGCGACGAUCAGUAGCCGGACUGAGAGGUUGAACGGCCACAUUGGGACUGAGAUACGGCCCAGACUCCUACGGGAGGCAGCAGUGGGGAAUAUUGGGCAAUGGGCGCAAGCCUGACCCAGCAACGCCGCGUGAAGGAAGAAGGCUUUCGGGUUGUAAACUUCUUUUAAGAGGGAAGAGCAGAAGACGGUACCUCUAGAAUAAGCCACGGCUAACUACGUGCCAGCAGCCGCGGUAA
rnacentral:rRNA from 1 species